rnacentral:rRNA from 1 species
CCUACGGGUGGCAGCAGUGAGGAAUAUUGGUCAAUGGACGAGAGCCUGAACCAGCCAAGUAGCGUGAAGGAUGACUGCCCUAUGGGUUGUAAACUUCUUUUAUAUGGGAAUAAAGUUCAGUAUGUGUACUGUUUUGUAUGUACCAUAUGAAUAAGGAUCGGCUAACUCCGUGCCAGCAGCCGCGGUAAUACGGAGGAUCCGAGCGUUAUCCGGAUUUAUUGGGUUUAAAGGGAGCGUAGACGGGCUGUUAAGUCAGUUGUGAAAGUUUGCGGCUCAACCGUAAAAUUGCAGUUGAUACUGGGAGCCUUGAGUACAGUUGAGGUAGGCGGAAUUCGUGGUGUAGCGGUGAAAUGCUUAGAUAUCACGAAGAACUCCGAUUGCGAAGGCAGCUUACUAAACUGCAACUGACGUUGAUGCUCGAAAGUGUGGGUAUCAAACAGGAUUAGAUACCCCGGUAGUC